GAUGAACGCUGGCGGCGUGCCUAAUACAUGCAAGUCGAGCGAACAGACGAGGAGCUUGCUCCUCUGACGUUAGCGGCGGACGGGUGAGUAACACGUGGAUAACCUACCUAUAAGACUGGGAUAACUUCGGGAAACCGGAGCUAAUACCGGAUAAUAUAUUGAACCGCAGGGUUCAAUAGUGAAAGACGGUUUUGCUGUCACCUAUAGAUGGAUCCGCGCCGCAUUAGCUAGUUGGUAAGGUAACGGCUUACCAAGGCAACGAUGCGUAGGCGACCUGAGAGGGUGCUCGGCCACACUGGCACUGAGACGCGGUCCAGUCUCCUACGGGAGGCAGCGGUGGGGAAUCUUCCGCAAUGGGCGAAAGCUUGACGGAGCAACGCCGCGUGAGUGAUGAAGGUCUUCGGAUCGUAAAACUCUGUUAUUAGGGAAGAACAAAUGUGUAAGUAACUAUGCACGUCUUGACGGUACCUAAUCAGAAAGCCACGGCUAACUACGUG
rnacentral:rRNA from 1 species